GUGGGGAAUAUUGGGCAAUGGGCGAAAGCCUGACCCAGCAACGCCGCGUGAAGGAAGAAGGUUUUCGGAUCGUAAACUUCUAUCCUUGGUGAAGAUAAUGACGGUAGCCAAGAAGGAAGCCCCGGCUAACUACGUGCCAGCAGCCGCGGUAAUACGUAGGGGGCAAGCGUUGUCCGGAAUGAUUGGGCGAAAAGGGCGCGUAGGCGGCCCGGUAAGUCUGAAGUGAAAGUCCUGCUUUUAAGGUGGGAAUUGCUUUGGAUACUGUCGGGCUUGAGUGCAGGAGAGGUAAGCGGAAUUCCCGGUGUAGCGGUGAAAUGCGUAGAGAUCGGGAGGAACACCAGUGGCGAAGGCGGCUUACUGGACUGUAACUGACGCUGAGGCGCGAAAGUGUGGGGAGCAAACAGGAUUAGAAACCCGAGUAGUCC
rnacentral:rRNA from 1 species